rnacentral:rRNA from 1 species
AAACUUUCAACAACGGAUCUCUUGGCUCUGGCAUCGAUGAAGAACGCAGCGAAAUGCGAUAAGUAAUGUGAAUUGCAGAAUUCAGUGAAUCAUCGAAUCUUUGAACGCACAUUGCGCCCGCCAGCACUCUGGCGGGCAUGCCUGUUCGAGCGUCGUU